rnacentral:tRNA from 1 species
GUCUUCGUGGUGUAGUGGUCAGCAUGCUCGACGCGUAUUCGAGAGGUCCGUGGUUCGAGUCCCGGCGGGAGCA